rnacentral:lncRNA from 10 species
GGCCACUGAGGCCUCCCCGUUCGCCUCCCAGAGGCCGCCACUUUCUUCAGGGCUAUCAGAUGAAGGCAGCAACGAAAACACCACCACAAGACCAACUUCAGGCUGGAGCUGAUGAUGCCACACAGGGGCUUCCUGGAGCUCCUGCAACCCCAGGCAUUAGUUCCGGUGCAGUUCUAGGAUCAGAUCAAUUCACUCGACAACAAGAGAAACAAAUGGAGAUUCCUACACAAAGACUUUCAAGCACAAAGAAAUCCUGCUGCCUGUAAAGCGGAGCUGCCUCAGCCCUUGAUGAACGACAGAAAAUACCACCUACUGCCAGACCUCAACGCCUCACAAAACUCUCACCCACCUACUGCUUUUAGCUCACAUUCCAGGAAUUCAGAUGAAGUGAAGUGCUCUCAUGGGGACCAGGCAUGGUUAUGCCAGUCCACUGCCCUGCAAGCCUCAAGGGAAGCCAACUGCCCUUCAGCAAGUCACACCUGCCUUGGUGGAGGCCUUGAUUGGAAGUGCCACACGCUACAUGUCCAGUCCUGAGCGGGAGAAUCGGUGUAGGGACGUUCUGGGGAUGCCAGCUGUGGCCAGAUCAGGUCCAACUACAGAAGAAUAAUGAAGACUCCACCUGAGGGCUGGAAAAACAAAACCUCAAGUGUGAGGCAGCCAACCUGUUACCUCGAGGGACUGUUCCGCAGCACAGCGGGGCCAUGGGAACAGCAGCAGACACCCCGACCUCCUCGCUACCUGUGUGUGUAUUAACACGCCGGCCUCCUCGCUACCUGUGUGUGUAUUAACACGCCGGCCUCCUCGCUCCCUGUGUGUGUAUUAACACCCCGGCCUCCUCGCUCCCUGUGUGUGUAUUAACACGCCGGCCUCCUCGCUACC